rnacentral:rRNA from 1 species
CGUAGUUGCCAGCCGGGUAAUGCCGGGAACUCUAACGAAACUGCCGGUGUAAACCGUGAGGAAGUGGGGAUGACGUCAAAUCAGCACGGCCCUUAUGUCCAGGGCUACACACGUGUUACAAUGGCCGGUACAGAGGGCAGCUACCUGGAGACAGGAUGCGAAUCUCCAAAGCCGGUCUCAGUUCGGAUCGGAGUCUGCAACUCGACUCCGUGAAGCUGGAUUCGCUAGUAAUCGCGCAUCAGCCAUGGCGCGGUGAAUACGUUCCCGGGCCUU